UCGGGAAUUUUGGGCAAUGGGCGAAAGCCUGACCCAGCAACGCCGCGUGAAGGAUGAAGUAUUUCGGUAUGUAAACUUCGAAAGAAUAGGAAGAAUAAAUGACGGUACUAUUUAUAAGGUCCGGCUAACUACGUGCCAGCAGCCGCGGUAAUACGUAGGGACCAAGCGUUGUUCGGAUUUACUGGGCGUAAAGGGCGCGUAGGCGGCAAUUCAAGUCAUCUGUGAAAUCUCCGGGCUUAACUCGGAACGGUCAGAUGAUACUGCUUUGCUAGAGUGCAGAAGGGGCAAUCGGAAUUCUUGGUGUAGCGGUGAAAUGCGUAGAUAUCAAGAGGAACACCUGAGGUGAAGACGGGUUGCUGGGCUGACACUGACGCUGAGGCGCGAAAGCCAGGGGAGCAAACGGGAUUAGAUACCCUGGUAGUCCCUGAGCGGGCUGGCAAGG
rnacentral:rRNA from 1 species